AAAACUUUCAACAACGGAUCUCUUGGUUCCAGCAUCGAUGAAGAACGCAGCGAAAUGCGAAAAGUAAUGUGAAUUGCAGAAUUCCGUGAAUCAUCGAAUCUUUGAACGCACAUUGCGCCCUCCGGUAUUCCGAAGGGCAUGCCUGUUCGAGCGUCAUUG
rnacentral:rRNA from 1 species